AAUGAACGCUGGCGGCGCGCCUAAUACAUGCAAGUCGAGCGAGAAGACGUAGCAAUACGUUUGUAAAGCGGCGAACGGGUGAGGAAUACAUGGGUAACCUACCCUAGAGUGGGGAAUAACUAGCCGAAAGGUUAGCUAAUACCGCGUACGCUCCUUGGACUUCGGUUCAGGGAGGAAAGCGAUGCCGAGGGUAUCGCGCUCUUGGAUGGGCUCAUGUCCUAUCAGCUUGUUGGGAGGUACGGCUCACC
rnacentral:rRNA from 1 species